rnacentral:tRNA from 1 species
GCCGGGGUGGUGAAAUCGGUAUACACAGGGGACUUAAAAUCCCCCGGGAAGCUAUUCCCAUGCGGGUUCGAGUCCCGCCCCCGGCA